AGAAUAGGGAGCUGCUGAGAUUCCUGUCUGAAAGAAGAAGCUACAAAAACUGGUUUUACAUGCAAGAUGGAUAAUGGAGGAUCCAUAUGCUUAAUGUUGCCUUUGGGAUCUGUUCAGACCUUUUCUCACAUCUGUCUGAAAUUGUUGGCGCAUUGAAGCAUUAAACCACAAAAUACAGAGAACUGUCAGUGCUUCGCUUUCAGAUGAGGAUGGGACUUUGAGACAGCCCUGUUUAAUAAAUUCCAUUCAUUUUAGUUGGAGCAGACUUGUAAUUA